rnacentral:rRNA from 1 species
GACAAACGCUGGCGGCAUGCCUAACACAUGCAAGUCGAACGGACAGAACAGAGAAGCUCUUCGGAGUGGAACUGGAAAGUUAGUGGCGGAUGGGUGAGUAACGCGUGGACAACCUACCUUGUAAAGGGGAAUAACCUCGAGAAAUCGAAGCUAAUACCCCAUAAUAACCUUGAAUCGCAUGAAUUGAGGAGGAAAGGCGGCCUUAGAGCUGUCGAUAGAAGAUGGGUCCGCGUCUGAUUAGCUAGUUGGUGAGGUAAAGGCUCACCAAGGCGACGAUCAGUAGCCGGCCUGAGAGGGUGAACGGCCACAUUGGGACUGAGACACGGCCCAAACUCCUACGGGAGGCAGCAGUGGGGAAUCUUCCGCAAUGGGCGCAAGCCUGACGGAGCAAUGCCGCGUGAGUGAAGAAGGCCUUCGGGUUGUAAAACUCUGUCCUAGACGAAGAGAGAGUAUUGUAGUAACUGACAAUACUAGGACGGUAGACUAGGAGGAAGCCCCGGCUAACUAUGUGCCAGCAGCCGCGGUAAAACAUAGGGGGCAAGCGUUGUCCGGAAUCACUGGGCGUAAAGGGCGCGCAGGCGGUAAAUUAAGUCAGGUGUGAAAGUUCGGGGCUCAACCCCGUGAUUGCACCUGAUACUGAUAAACUAGAGUGUUGGAGAGGUAAGUGGAAUUCCUAGUGUAGCGGUGGAAUGCGUAGAUAUUAGGAGGAACACCAGUGGCGAAGGCGACUUACUGGCCAAUAACUGACGCUGAGGCGCGAAAGCGUGGGGAGCAAACAGG